ensembl:lncRNA
GUGGUGAGGAGCUGAGGGGCGGUGUGGUGAGGAGCUGAGGGGCGGUGUGGUGAGGAGCUGAGGGGAGGAGCUGUGGUGAGUGAGCUGAGGGGGGAGGAGCUGUGGUGAGGAGCUGAGGGGAGGUGUGGUGAGGAGCUGAGGGGAGGUGUGGUGAGGAGCUGUGGGGCGGUGUGGUGAGGAGCUGAGGGGUGGUGUGGUGAGGAGCUGAGGGGCGGUGUGGUGAGGAGCUGAGGGGCGGUGUGGUGAGGAGCUGAGGGGCGGUGUGGUGAGGAGCUGAGGGGAGGUGUGGUGGGGGCGGUGUGGUGAGGAGCUGAGGGGAGGUGUGGUGAGGAGCUGAGGGGCGGUGUGGUGAGGAGCUGAGUGGUGGUGUGGUGAGGAGCUGAGGGGUGGUGUGGUGAGGAGCUGAGGGGCAGAGCUGAGGGGAGGUGUGGUGAGGAGCUGAGGGGAGGUGUGGUGAGGAGCUGUGGGGCAGAGCUGAGAGGUGGUGUGGUGAGGAGCUGAGAGGUGGUGUGGUGAGGAGCUGAGGGGAGGAGCUGAGGGGAGGUGUGGUGAGGAGCUGAGGGGAGGUGUGGUGAGGAGCUGAGGGGAGGAGCUGAGGGGAGGUGUGGUGAGGAGCUGAGGGGAGGUGUGGUGAGGAGCUGAGGGGCGGUGUGGUGAGGAGCUGAGGGGAGGUGUGGUGAGGAGCUGAGGGGAGGUGUGGUGAGGAGCUGAGGGGAGGUGUAGUGAGGAACUGAGGGGAGGAGCUGAGGGGAGGAGCUGAGGGGAGCUGUGGUGAGGAGCUGGGG